UACGUAGGGGGCUAGCGUUGUCCGGAAUCAUUGGGCGUAAAGAGCGCGUAGGCGGCCCGGUAAGUCCGCUGUAAAAGUCAAAGGCUCAACCUUUGAAGGUCAGUGGAUACUGCCGGGCUAGAGUCCGGAAGAGGCGAGUGGAACUCCUGGUGUAGCGGUGGAAUGCGCAGAUAUCAGGAAGAACACCCGUGGCGAAGGCGGCUCUCUGGGACGGUACUGACGCUGAGACGCGAAAAGCGUGGGGAGCGAACAGG
rnacentral:rRNA from 1 species